CAGGCCUACACAUGCAAGUCGAGCGAGAAAGCUCUUUCGGGAGUGAGUACAGCGGCGACGUUUGAGUAACACGUGAGAAUCUGCCCUCUAGUGAAGAAUACCCUCGGAAAUCGAGGCUAAUGCUGCAUAAGUCCCUUCGGGGAGAAAGGUGGCCUUUGCUACUGCUAGAGGAGGAGCUUGCGGCCUAUCAGCUUGUUGGUGAGGAAAAGCUCACCAAGGCUAUGACGGGUAGCCGGCCUGAGAGGGUGUUCGGCAGAUUGGAACUGAGAAACGGUCCAGACUCCUACGGGAGGCAGCAGUGGGAAUCUUGCGCAAUGGGCGAAAGCCUGACGCAGCGACGCCGCGUGGAGGUGAAGGUCUUCGGAUUGUAAACUCCUGCUAAGUGGGAAGAAAAGUCUAUUCUAAUACAGAUAGAUCAUGACGGUACCAUUAGAGAAAGCACCGGCUAAUUCGUGCCAGCAGCCGCGGUAAU
rnacentral:rRNA from 1 species